rnacentral:misc_RNA from 1 species
UUGAAUAAGCAAUAGUGGGUUGUAGCUGGCUUUUUGGAGCAUGUGCACACCUGCUGUCUUAAUCCAUCCACCUGUGCAUCAUUUGUAGUCCUGUGGGGUAGUGUGGCUGAAUCCUCAUUGUUGGGUUUGGUCUGAUCCUAUCAGGUCUAUGUCUUUUACAUAUACCAUGUAGUAUGUUGCAGAAUGUUAUCAAAUGGGUCUUUGUGCCUAUAUAAAUUUAUA